ensembl:lncRNA
CUAAUGUUUUUGUCACUUUUAUGGAAUCAAACUCAAAAUAAGGCUUGAAAAGCAUACUUGAAGAAGGCCCUUCUUGGAGGCAGAGGCGACUAUGCAACAACAGGUCCCUUUAUGAGGCAGAUUAAGUCAUUUCGGUACCAAGAUGAAACCCACAGUUUGGAGCACAGAAGGCCAAACCCAGCCUCUGGGUGACAAUCAAGUACCCAAAAUCCCACAAAUAGCAUUGUGGGAGGAGGUCAGUGUUUUUACUUCCACAAAAUCUAAGAAACACUCGGAGGCACCACCAUGAUAAAGUUGAAGAGACUGCAGGAAUUAAUCUACUGCUCUGCAGCAAAAAGUGUUGAAGAAGCAGAAAGUAAACUAUGUCAACGACCCCAGUAGAUACAGGAGGCAGAAGGAAACCAAUCAUCCAGUGAGAGAACUCAACAAAGAACAGAGGAAACUCAGAGAGGAGGAGAGGAGAGGCAGACCUGAUGCAGACAUCUGGAGCAAGCUUCUGAGGAGUGAGGAGCCAGCUUACAGAGGCAGAAGUUACAGGAGUCUAGAAGUGGACUAGAACAAGCUUCUGCAAGAAUCUCUUUGGGUUUGCAAACAACCCCCUAUCAGAAAGGAGCUCAGUGUUAAUCUACAGGCAGACCUGGAAAAACAACUAAAAAUGUCCAGAACAGAAAAACACUGAGCACUCUCUCAUUUUUAUGGCAGUUUCAUUUUAAUGGAGAGAGACAGAAUAUCAACCAAAAAUCCAGAAAAAGCACAUCACAUAAAAGUUAUGAACGGAUUUGCAUGUUACUGAGUGACAUGAGUAUUGGAUCUCCAAGCAAAAUAUGACUGAGAACGAAACUCUAAAUCCUUCAGGUUUCUUGGUUGAAGGCAAAGUGGUGAAGUUGCCCUGUACACAGCCCCAAAGCAUAAUGCUUCCACCUCUGUGCUUGGGUGUGGGGAUGAUGUCCUUUGGGUCAUGCUCAGUAUUUCUCUUCCUCCAAACACAGCAGGUCUGCUUGAUGCCAAAGAGCUCGAUUUUGGUUUCAUCUGACCACAGCACUUUCUCCCAAGCCUUCUCUGAAUCAUUUAGAUUUUUACUGGCAAACUUAAGACAGGUCUGUACAUGAGCCUUCUUGAGCAGGGGGACCUUGAGGGUGUGGCAAGAUUUCAGUUAUUUAGUGGUGACUGUGGUAUCAACUGCCUUGUCCCUGACGUCCUUUGACAGCUCUUUGGUCUUGCCCCAUGGUGGUGGAAAGGUGGGAAUUGGAGGAAACUGAUUCUAAGGACAUCGGGAGUAUCUGUAGUUGACUGAUUGUAAUCUCUGUGUCACAUGGACAUACAGUCAAUCUGUGAACCAGAAUUCUGGCUGGUUUGUAGGGGAUCAAAUGCUUAUUUUACUCAAUGACAUGCAAAUAGAUUUGUAACUUUUAUGUGAUAUGUUUUUAGAAAAAAGCAGAUAAAAAUUAAAAAGUGUUAAUUUCUUUGUAGGUGAGCAAACUUACAAAUUCAGCAAGGGAUCAAAUAAAUAUUUCUCCCACUGUACUUACAGUCUAAUUUGUGUCUUUUUUCCCC